rnacentral:lncRNA from 1 species
UCAGACUGGAUAGAACAGCCAAGUACAACACCAGGCAGGGUAGAAAUCCCCUUCAAUUUAGCUAUUGCUGGAAUGAGAGCUGUAUGAUGAUGGGUCCCUAUCAAGAUCUCAGGAUUUUCCUGAUGUGCUGGAGCUGUAACUUGCUUGUCUAAAGGAAGUACUAAGGGUGCGUUUGGCACCAGCUUUGCCAAGUACCUUUGGGUACUCAAAGCCCAUUUGCCCAAAUAUUGGGUGUUUGGGAAAAAAUUUUACACCUGCCUUGAAGAAAUGCUG